UGCAGCUUACAUCGUUUCACAUUAAUAUCUGUCGUAUGGGAAUUGAUAUCCUGUUUUGAGUGUAUAUACAUUCGAUCCCAUAUUUCUGUGGUCCGAACGCUGUUACGUUUAACAAAGAGGACAAAUGUUUUAGUAAGUGAUAUUCGACCUCAUUUGGAGAUCACUGAACAACAAGCAAUUAUAUCAAUAUAUAUAUAUCACUAACUCGGCGAAAACGGAUUGCCAAAGCUGAGAUUCAUACUGUUUUCAUCACGUCGUAAAUAUAAUGUUAAAAAUGUUGAUGGUAUCUAACCCUAUAUAUAUAUAUAUAUAUAUAUAUAUAUAUAUAUAUAUAUAUAUAUAUAUAUAUAUAUAUAUAUAUAUAUAUAUAUAUAUAUAUAUAUAUAUAUAUAUAUAGAUAGAUAGAUAGAUAGAUAGAUAGAUAAAGAUAAAAUAAACCUGGUUUACUUCAUAAGAUUUAUUCACUACAAACUUGUUUCGUAUGACAAGCAAUGCUUGCCACACUCAUCAGGUGAAUUUAAAUGUCCUGAUGAGUGUGGCAAGCAUUGCUUGUCAUACGAAACAAGUUUGUAGUGAAUAAAUCUUAUGAAGUAAACCAGGUUUAUUUUAUCUUUAUCUAUAUUAGCUCUAUACUUCGGUAUAUCGAGCACUCUACUCAUAUAUGAUUCUAAAUACAUAUUUGGUAUAUAUAUAUAUAUAUAUAUAUAUAUAUAUAUAUAUAUAUAUAUAUAUAUAUAUAUAUAUAUAUAUAUAUAUAUAUAUAUAUAUAUAUAUAUAUAUAUAUAUAUAUAUAUAUGAAACUUUGUAGCUUACUAAUAUGAGGCACAAGAAAUAGCAUCUUUCACAUUGUAUACUAUUUUCACCUUGUCUCAGCGAGUUCCCUGUCUUAAAUCUAGACUACACCAAUGUUAAAAAUAAUUUUCCAGAAAUCUUAAAAUCUAAAAUAUCUCUUGGGGGACCAUCAAUAGAAUGAAUGAUUGAAGAAUGUAAUACUAUAAAAAUACAUUAUGCUGCCACAAACUAUAUUUGAAUUCAUGGUGUGCGAAUUGGCGCCAAAAAUAUUAUGUAGUAACGUUGAUUUUGAACACAAAUUCAGACGAUCUUUGGCUGCAUGAUUAAUCUAAAAUUAUACAAAUUUUAUGUUAAUUUAGCUCAGAACAGUGGUUUAAAUUUACCAACAAAUGGAACAGCGUAUGAACAAUUACACUCAAACACGCAAGAGGAAAAGCACUUUGAUGCCACCGUCAACUGACAAAAUCUAAACUUUCCAGAUGGAAAUAUUUUACCCAUCACCAUUAUUUCAGCUUAUAUAUAACGACAAGUGAAACAGAGCAUGGAUAUAUAUGUUCGAUGCAAUGUUUAUUUAGUUAUGCAACAUGUGAAAUUACUUGAUUACAAUGACAGCACUGAACAAAACGCUAUCCUCUUUUUUAGGGAUGUUGCGAACUCUGAUAUACCUCACGACCUACGCAUUCCUUACUUCACGCCAAACCUGUCACAAAUCAUCCUACCACACGACAAGGAUGCGAACAUGAGGGCCAGUUUUAUUCUCCCGGGGAGAGAUUCGACGAAGGGAAUAACGGCCAAGGAUGGUGUUAUGGUUUAUAUUGUGGCCAUGAUGGCUUUGUAGUUGCGUGGGAUAAUUUCAACUGUACUUCCCGUCUUACCACACCAAAAAUAACCACACCAGAACCAACUACACCAAAAACAACCAGACCAAAAACCACCACACCAAAAUCUACCACACCACUUACUACCUUCUCACCACCUACAACCACUCCACGACCUCUGGGGUGUGAAUAUGAGGGCCAGUUGUAUUCUCCCGGGGAGAGGUUCGGUGAAGGAAAUGAUGGCCAAGGAUGGUGUUAUGGUUCAUAUUGCACCGAGGAUGGUUCUAUAAUUGUUUGGGAUAAUUUCAACUGCCAUUCUACUACCUCUUCCAUGCCUGACACUACUACUUAUUUUACCACACGAAAGAUUACAACACCAUCUAAUACGACUUCAAAGAAUACCAUACUGCCUACCACCUUACUACUUUCUACUGUUUUCAGCUUCUUUAUGGCGUUGACCAGUGCAUACUGAAAUGUUUGUGAUUGACAUUGGUGGAAGGGUGCACCCCCUCCCCUCUGAAGGAUAUGCUGCAUCCUCUCUAUUAGAUGAGCCUGGAUCCACCCCUGGAAAAACUUUUUCAUUCUAGUCUAAAAUGUAUUCGUUGUAGUAAAUAUGGUUGAGUAUACUGUAUCAUUAAUUAUUAGUUGUAUUUUCGAAUACAACUGUUAUUUUAUGUUUCUCAACUGCUAGAUGUAUUUAGAGAUAAACUACACAGUGAAGUAAAAUGAAUUACUGAUUUUGAGUGUUAUACACCUACGCAAUUUUAGAUUUUGACCAUGUACUCAUAAUGUAUACGAUAAUUUAUAGCUUCGAUGACGGAUUUUGAACACUUUUCAUCGAAAUUACACGAUCCAAUAAAAUAUUUCUC